AUGAACGCUGGCGGCGUGCCUAAUACAUGCAAGUCGAGCGAACAGACAAGGAGCUUGCUCCUUUGACGUUAGCGGCGGACGGGUGAGUAACACGUGGGUAACCUACCUAUAAGACUGGGAUAACUUCGGGAAACCGGAGCUAAUACCGGAUAAUAUUUCAAACCGCAUGGUUCGAUAGUGAAAGAUGGUUUUGCUAUCACUUAUAGAUGGACCCGCGCCGUAUUAGCUAGUUGGUAAGGUAACGGCUUACCAAGGCGACGAUACGUAGCCGACCUGAGAGGGUGAUCGGCCACACUGGAACUGAGACACGGUCCAGACUCCUACGGGAGGCAGCAGUAGGGAAUCUUCCGCAAUGGGCGAAAGCCUGACGGAGCAACGCCGCGUGAGUGAUGAAGGUCUUCGGAUCGUAAAACUCUGUUAUUAGGGAAGAACAUACGUGUAAGUAACUAUGCACGUCUUGACGGUACCUAAUCAGAAAGCCACGGCUAACUACGUGCCAGCAGCCGCGGUAAUACGUAGGUGGCAAGCGUUAUCCGGAAUUAUUGGGCGUAAAGCGCGCGUAGGCGGUUUUUUAAGUCUGAUGUGAAAGCCCACGGCUCAACCGUGGAGGGUCAUUGGAAACUGGAAAACUUGAGUGCAGAAGAGGAAAGUGGAAUUCCAUGUGUAGCGGUGAAAUGCGCAGAGAUAUGGAGGAACACCAGUGGCGAAGGCGACUUUCUGGUCUGUAACUGACGCUGAUGUGCGAAAGCGUGGGGAUCAAACAGGAUUAGAUACCCUGGUAGUCCACGCCGUAAACGAUGAGUGCUAAGUGUUAGGGGGUUUCCGCCCCUUAGUGCUGCAGCUAACGCAUUAAGCACUCCGCCUGGGGAGUACGACCGCAAGGUUGAAACUCAAAGGAAUUGACGGGGACCCGCACAAGCGGUGGAGCAUGUGGUUUAAUUCGAAGCAACGCGAAGAACCUUACCAAAUCUUGACAUCCUUUGACAACUCUAGAGAUAGAAGUUUCCCCUUCGGGGGACAAAGUGACAGGUGGUGCAUGGUUGUCGUCAGCUCGUGUCGUGAGAUGUUGGGUUAAGUCCCGCAACGAGCGCAACCCUUAAGCUUAGUUGCCAUCAUUAAGUUGGGCACUCUAAGUUGACUGCCGGUGACAAACCGGAGGAAGGUGGGGAUGACGUCAAAUCAUCAUGCCCCUUAUGAUUUGGGCUACACACGUGCUACAAUGGACAAUACAAAGGGCAGCGAAACCGCGAGGUCAAGCAAAUCCCAUAAAGUUGUUCUCAGUUCGGAUUGUAGUCUGCAACUCGACUACAUGAAGCUGGAAUCGCUAUUAAUCGUAGAUCAGCAUGCUACGGUGAAUACGUUCCCGGGUCUUGUACACACCGCCCGUCACACCACGAGAGUUUGUAACACCCGAAGCCGGUGGAGUAACCAUUUGGAGCUAGCCGUCGAAGGUGGGACAAAUGAUUGGGGUGAA
rnacentral:rRNA from 1 species